rnacentral:lncRNA from 1 species
GUGUCCUGUCCCAUGUGUAGGUGCAGGAGUCAGGUCCAGGACCCAUGAGGCCCUCAGACACUGCCCUCCACAUGUGCUGUGUCUGGAUUCUUUUUUACCAUGGAUACUAUUUGAGCUGAAUCCACCAUCCCCUGGGCAACAGGCUGGAAUGGCUGGGGCACAGUUACUAGAGUCGAUCACCAAGGAAUACACAUCAUGCUCCCUCCACCCAGGUCCAUGUCCCCAUCAACAAUGACUCAACCAAGAGCCAGUUCUCUGUGAAGCUCAGCUCCAUGGCUGCCCAGGACACAGCUGAGUAUUACUGUGAAAGA